rnacentral:rRNA from 1 species
GAUGAACGCUGGCGGCGUGCUUAACACAUGCAAGUCGAACGGUGAAGGCGGAGCUUGCUCUGCUGGAUCAGUGGCGAACGGGUGAGUAACACGUGAGCAAUCUGCCCCUGACUCUGGGAUAAGCGCUGGAAACGGCGUCUAAUACUGGAUACGAGCUGCGAAGGCAUCUUCAGCAGCUGGAAAGAAUUUCGGUCAGGGAUGAGCUCGCGGCCUAUCAGCUUGUUGGUGAGGUAAUGGCUCACCAAGGCGUCGACGGGUAGCCGGCCUGAGAGGGUGACCGGCCACACUGGGACUGAGACACGGCCCAGACUCCUACGGGAGGCAGCAGUGGGGAAUAUUGCACAAUGGGCGAAAGCCUGAUGCAGCAACGCCGCGUGAGGGACGACGGCCUCCGGGUUGUAAACCUCUUUUAGCAGGGAAGAAGCGAAAGUGACGGUACCUGCAGAAAAAGCGCCGGCUAACUACGUG